AACGCUAGCGACAGGCUUAACACAUGCAAGUCGAGGGGCAGCACAGGUAGCAAUACCGGGUGGCGACCGGCGCACGGGUGAGUAACGCGUAUGCAACUUGCCUAUCAGAGGGGGAUAACCCGGCGAAAGUCGGACUAAUACCGCAUGAAGCAGGGGCCCCGCAUGGGGAUAUUUGCUAAAGAUUCAUCGCUGAUAGAUAGGCAUGCGUUCCAUUAGGCAGUUGGCGGGGUAACGGCCCACCAAACCGACGAUGGAUAGGGGUUCUGAGAGGAAGGUCCCCCACAUUGGUACUGAGACACGGACCAAACUCCUACGGGAGGCAGCAGUGAGGAAUAUUGGUCAAUGGGCGCGAGCCUGAACCAGCCAGGUCGCGUGAGGGAUGAAGGUUCUAUGGAUCGUAAACCUCUUUUAUAAGGGAAUAAAGUGCGGGACGUGUCCCGUUUUGUAUGUACCUUAUGAAUAAGGAUCGGCUAACUCCGUGCCAGCAGCCGCGGUAAUACGGAGGAUCCGAGCGUUAUCCGGAUUUAUUGGGUUUAAAGGGUGCGUAGGCGGCCUUUUAAGUCAGCGGUGAAAGUCUGUGGCUCAACCAUAGAAUUGCCGUUGAAACUGGGAGGCUUGAGUAUGUUUGAGGCAGGCGGAAUGCGUGGUGUAGCGGUGAAAUGCAUAGAUAUCACGCAGAACCCCGAUUGCGAAGGCAGCCUGCCAAGCCAUUACUGACGCUGAUGCACGAAAGCGUGGGGAUCAAACAGGAUUAGAUACCCUGGUAGUCCACGCAGUAAACGAUGAUCACUAGCUGUUUGCGAUACAUUGUAAGCGGCACAGCGAAAGCGUUAAGUGAUCCACCUGGGGAGUACGCCGGCAACGGUGAAACUCAAAGGAAUUGACGGGGGCCCGCACAAGCGGAGGAACAUGUGGUUUAAUUCGAUGAUACGCGAGGAACCUUACCCGGGUUUGAACGCAUUCGGACCGAGGUGGAAACACCUUUUCUAGCAAUAGCCGUUUGCGAGGUGCUGCAUGGUUGUCGUCAGCUCGUGCCGUGAGGUGUCGGCUUAAGUGCCAUAACGAGCGCAACCCUUGCCACUAGUUACUAACAGGUAAAGCUGAGGACUCUGGUGGGACUGCCAGCGUAAGCUGCGAGGAAGGCGGGGAUGACGUCAAAUCAGCACGGCCCUUACAUCCGGGGCGACACACGUGUUACAAUGGCGUGGACAAAGGGAAGCCACCUGGCGACAGGGAGCGAAUCCCCAAACCACGUCUCAGUUCGGAUCGGAGUCUGCAACCCGACUCCGUGAAGCUGGAUUCGCUAGUAAUCGCGCAUCAGCCAUGGCGCGGUGAAUACGUUCCCGGGCCUUGUACACACCGCCCGUCAAGCCAUGGGAGCCGGGGGUACCUGAAGUCCGUAACCGCGAGGAUCGGCCUAGGGUAAAACUGGUGAC
rnacentral:rRNA from 1 species